rnacentral:rRNA from 1 species
UACGAGGGGUCCUAGCGUUGUUCGGAAUCAUUGGGCGUAAAGGGUGUGUAGGUGGCCAUGUAAGUCAGGUGUGAAAGCCCCGGGCUCAACCCGGGAAGUGCACUUGAUACUGCGUGGCUUGAGUACCGAAGAGGGUAGUGGAAUUCCAGGUGUAGUGGUGAAAUACGUAGAUAUCUGGAGGAACACCGGUGGCGAAGGCGGCUACCUGGUCGAGUACUGACACUGAGACACGAAAGCAUGGGGAUCAAACAGG